rnacentral:tRNA from 1 species
GCGUUUGUAGCUCAACCGGAUAGAGCAUCGGACUUCGAAUCCGCAGGUUGCACGUUCGAGUCGUGUCAGACGCA